GCUCUCAAGUGUGAUGAGAUAAUCACAUAUCUUCUGUCAGGCUUAGGUCAUGACUAUGAUCCCUUUGUUACGACUAUUCAAGCUCGAAAUGAUCAAAUAACACUUGAAGAAGUCUACUCUCUCUUGCUGAGUCUCGACU
rnacentral:snoRNA from 1 species